rnacentral:rRNA from 1 species
GAUGAACGCUGGCGGCGUGCCUAAUACAUGCAAGUCGAGCGAACGGACGAGAAGCUUGCUUCUCUGAUGUUAGCGGCGGACGGGUGAGUAACACGUGGAUAACCUACCUAUAAGACUGGGAUAACUUCGGGAAACCGGAGCUAAUACCGGAUAAUAUUUUGAACCGCAUGGUUCAAAAGUGAAAGACGGUCUUGCUGUCACUUAUAGAUGGAUCCGCGCUGCAUUAGCUAGUUGGUAAGGUAACGGCUUACCAAGGCAACGAUGCAUAGCCGACCUGAGAGGGUGAUCGGCCACACUGGAACUGAGACACGGUCCAGACUCCUACGGGAGGCAGCAGUAGGGAAUCUUCCGCAAUGGGCGAAAGCCUGACGGAGCAACGCCGCGUGAGUGAUGAAGGUCUUCGGAUCGUAAAACUCUGUUAUUAGGGAAGAACAUAUGUGUAAGUAACUGUGCACAUCUUGACGGUACCUAAUCAGGAAGCCACGGCUAACUACGUGCCAGCAGCCGCGGUAAUACGUANGUGGCAAGCGUUAUCCGGAAAUAUUGGGCGUAAAGCGCGCGUAGCGGUUUUUUAGUCUGAUGUGAAAGCCCACGGCUCAACCGUGGAGGGUCAUUGGAAACUGGAAAACUUGAGUGCAGAAGAGGAAAGUGGAAUUCCAUGUGUAGCGGUGAAAUGCGCAGAGAUAUGGAGGAACACCAGUGGCGAAGGCGACUUUCUGGUCUGUAACUGACGCUGAUGUGCGAAAGCGUGGGGAUCAAACAGGAUUAGAUACCCUGGUAGUCCACGCCGUAAACGAUGAGUGCUAAGUGUUAGGGGGUUUCCGCCCCUUAGUGCUGCAGCUAACGCAUUAAGCACUCCGCCUGGGGAGUACGACCGCAAGGUUGAAACUCAAAGGAAUUGACGGGGACCCGCACAAGCGGUGGAGCAUGUGGUUUAAUUCGAAGCAACGCGAAGAACCUUACCAAAUCUUGACAUCCUUUGACAACUCUAGAGAUAGAGCCUUCCCCUUCGGGGGACAAAGUGACAGGUGGUGCAUGGUUGUCGUCAGCUCGUGUCGUGAGAUGUUGGGUUAAGUCCCGCAACGAGCGCAACCCUUAAGCUUAGUUGCCAUCAUUAAGUUGGGCACUCUAAGUUGACUGCCGGUGACAAACCGGAGGAAGGUGGGGAUGACGUCAAAUCAUCAUGCCCCUUAUGAUUUGGGCUACACACGUGCUACAAUGGACAAUACAAAGGGCAGCGAAACCGCGAGGUCAAGCAAAUCCCAUAAAGUUGUUCUCAGUUCGGAUUGUAGUCUGCAACUCGACUACAUGAAGCUGGAAUCGCUAGUAAUCGUAGAUCAGCAUGCUACGGUGAAUACGUUCCCGGGUCU